UACAGAGGGUGCGAGCGUUUAAUCGGAAUUACUGGGCGUAAAGCGCACGUAGUCGGCUUUGCAAGUCGGGUGUGAAAUCCCCGGGCUCAACCUGGGAACUGCAUCCGAGACUGCAUUGCUAGAGUAUGGGAGAGGGAAGCGGAAUUUUCUGGUGUAGCAGUGAAAUGCGUAGAUAUCAGAAGGAACAUCAGUGGCGAAGGCGGCUUCCUGGACCAAUACUGACGAUCAGGUGCGAAAAGCGUGGGGGAGCAAACAGG
rnacentral:rRNA from 1 species